UCAUCUUGGUCGGGGUGCCCUUUGUGGGCUGAGAUUACACCCGUUGAACCUGAUCCGGCUUAUACCGGCGUAGGAAUAUCGAGACAUGCUUAUU
rnacentral:ncRNA from 1 species